UGGUUUUUGGUUUGUAACGGGUGGUUGGAUGUCUGCUUGCGCAGCAACUUCCACGCGUUCUUACCUCUUCAGUUGUGUUACAUGGCAUUUUUGCCUUGAACAUUUAGUGGGUUCCUGUGUUGCAUACCUAAUUGAUGGCAUUGUGUUGCUUGAACAAAGUUCCCUUUCGUAAAGCGUUGCUUGCGGCRCCAACGAACCUUGAAGCGGUCUUUGUGGUCCAUCAUGUCGUUGCUAAGGCAUCGAUGUCAUGGCCCAUGGGGUGUCGCUUGGUCUCUUGGAUAUGGAACCUGGUGUGGGCACAUGGUCGUUCAUGAUCAUGUCUUUUGCCCGUGUUGAGCGUUUCGCUUCUCUAAACGACUGUCUUUCGUGCAUCGACUUGUCGGUGCAUGGUAGGCUACGUCGAAGAGGACUGCUACCUGGU
rnacentral:misc_RNA from 1 species